CUGCCACUCACACGGAUCGUUGAAAAAUUAAGGAUCCAAUUUAUAUGAUUGCAGGGCUCUGCUAUCCUCAACCUCUGUCUAAUGUUUCCUUGAACUUCUUUCCUGUAUACACCGUUGCCACACAAGAUUGGUUGAUUACUGAACGCAACUGAACAAUAUCUUAUCGUUGAGGUCGACUAUGGAGACCUGGUUCAUCAUCAUCUUCUCCCUCUGUCUCGCAGCCCUCCUUAACCUUCUCGUCUUCAAGAAAUCCUCCGGAAACAAUCGGCUCCCUCCCGGACCCCUCAACAUCCCCAUCAUCGGCAACUUCUUUUUGCUUCGCAAGUCCUUCUCCGAGCUCGAGCCCAUACUCCGCAACCUCCACACCAGGUAUGGCCCCAUCGUUACUCUGCAUAUCGGCUCCCGUCCGGCUAUCUUCGUCGCCAACCGCUCCAUCGCCCACCAAGCCCUAGUCCAGAAUGGCGCCGUCUUCGCUGAUCGCCCCCCCGCCCUCCCCACUACUAAGAUCCUCUCCAGCAACCAGUGCAACAUCAGCUCCUCCUUCUACGGACCAACGUGGCGACUUUUCCGCCGAAACCUCACCUCCGAGAUUCUCCACCCUUCGCGUGUCAAGUCCUACUCGCGCGCGCGCAAGUGGGUAUUGGACAUCCUUCUCAACCGCCUUGAAUCUCACUCCAAGACCGAAUCGGGCGUAGUUUACCCCGUCCGCCUGAUUGACCACUUCCAAUACGCUAUGUUUUGCCUGCUGGUUCUGAUGUGUUUCGGGGACAAGCUCCUCGAGACCCAGAUCAAAGAAAUCGAAGCCAUCCAGCGUCGCCUGCUUUUGAGCUUUGGUCGCUUUAACAUGCUCAAUUUCUGGCCGAGGCUUGGAAAGAUACUAUUCCGCAAGCGUUGGGAAUUGUUGUUCAACCUUCGGAGAGACCAGAAUGCUAUACUAGGGCCUUUGAUAGAAGCGAGGAAGAGAGUGAAGCAAGAAAGGCUAACCAAGGCAAAAGAGGACGCCCCCCUAGAAGAUAAUGGUGAUGAUGAGUUUGUGGUGUCGUACGUGGAUACGUUGUUGGAUUUGGAGUUGCCGGAGGGGAAGAGGAAGCUUAGUGUGGAGGAAAUGGUCAGCUUGUGCUCGGAGUUUCUCAACGCGGGCACGGAUACAACGUCCACGGCGUUACAGUGGAUCAUGGCAAAUUUGGUGAAAUACCCCCAUGUCCAAGAGAAGCUUUGGGCAGAGAUCAAAGGGGUCGUUGGAGGGCAUGCAGAAAAGGAGGUGAAGGAAGAGGAUUUGUACAAGAUGCCGUAUUUGAAGGCAGUGGUUUUGGAGGGCUUAAGGCGUCACCCACCAGCGCACUUAGUGUUGCCACAUGCUGUGACGGAGGAUGUCGUGUUGGAAGGCUACUCGGUGCCCAAGAAUGCCACUUUGAAUUUCAUGGUGGCAGAGAUGGGCUGGGACCCGAAGGUGUGGGAAGAUCCCAUGGCGUUCAGGCCAGAGAGAUUCUUGAGAGGUAGUGAUGGAGGAGGAGGAGGGGAAGUGUUUGAUAUAACGGGAAGCAGGGAGAUUAAGAUGAUGCCGUUUGGGGCUGGGAGGAGGAUCUGUCCUGGCUCUGGUUUGGCAAUGCUUCAUUUGGAGUACUUUGUUGCCAAUUUAGUAUGGAAUUUUGAGUGGAAGGCUGUGGAUGGUGAUGAUGUUGAUUUGUCAGAGAAGCAGGAGUUCACUAUGGUGAUGAAGGAUCCAUUGAAGGCCAAUCUAUCUCCCAGAUUGUGAAUGGAUAGCUUUACUUUUCUUUUCUUUUUUUGCUCGACUCCUUCACUCGUCCAAAAAGAUAUGUGAUUAGGAUGAAAGAUGAAACUGGUGUAUUCAUUCAUAUUCCCUUCAAGCAGUAAUCUGCGUGUCGAAGUUUCUAGCAUAUUCAUUCAUUCACCCAAUGCAAUGGGUUGAAAGAACAUUUCAAUUCCCUUUCCGAUGGAGGCCGCGAAGAAGACGAGGGGAGCAGGAGGUAGAAGAGGUGGAGACAGGAAGAAGUCAGUCUCGAAGUCUAUCAAGGCUGGGCUUCAAUUCCUCAUGGGUUGGAUUGCUUUGUAUUUGAAGAAGGGUCGCUACGCCUAGUGGACAGGCUCUGGUGCUCCGAUCUACCUCGCCACGGUUCUUGAAUAUCUCGCUGCUGAGAUCAUGCAAGCCUUCCAUCAUUUCAUACAUGUGUUGGUGCUAACGAGGAAAGGCUAACCCCAAAGUGGUAUAAGGAACAUGGGAUUGAAUUGGUUCUUGGAACUCGAGUCAAGUCAGCUGAUGUAAGGCGUAAGACAUUAUUGACAGCAGCUGGGUAGACUAUUAGUUACAAGAUGUCAUUUGAAGUUCUUUGUUUUCAAGUCAAGUCAGCUGUCAUUUGAAGUUCUCUGUUUUCAUCCUUUACUAAUCUGGUCUUGAACUUUGGUAUACAUUCCACCCAGUAUUUUGAAUGGCUCUAUGGUGCAAACUUCGGAUGACUAAAAUGAACAAGAUUGGAAGCGAAGUCGACGUUGAAUUAAGGGAUCUGGUCUUUUGUUUGUUACUGGCCAAACCAAAUGAAUUAAUGGAAUUUUUUUGCUCCUUUUGUUGUUUGGAUUUUAAUAAAAUGAGGUGCUGCUUGGACAGUACAUCCUAUUCUUAUCAUUACAUGCAGCUUCUUUUGUGUCCAGUUGUGGAGAUGUACUUGGUGUUACUUAUGUAGAUUGUGGACUCGGAAUUAUGUGUGCAAACACUUGUGUUAUUUGAGAUGCUAUAGUGUAGUUUGAAUAAGGUUCUAAUUAUAUGCAGUGGAAUGAGGUUUUGUGGUCUUUGUUUAUAUGCAAUGAAAUGAGGUUCUGAA